rnacentral:lncRNA from 1 species
GGGAGCUAAGACAACCCAAGAUAACUUGGCUCUGGGCCUCCAACAUGCUAACUCCGCAGUCUACCAGGCCCAGCAGGUAAAGUCUUGAACACAAUCUAGCUUUCAUCUCUUGCGACCUCAGUCUCAUAACCAGCAGAGUUCCCAUUGGUUCCCACUGGUCCCAAUGGUCUUCAGCCUUUGGACAUCGUUUUGUCUUUUAGCUUGGCAGGUUCAGAGGUUCAUCAUCAAGGCAGGAACAUGGCAGCAUCCAGGCAGGCAUGGUACAGGAGGAGCUGAGAGUUCUACAUCAUCAUCUGAAGGCCUCUAGGAGAAGACUGGCUCCCACGAGGUUAGAAGGAGGGUCUCACUGACCACCCCCACAGUCACACACCUACUCCAACAAGGCCACAUCUCCUAAUAGUGCCACUCCCUGGGCAUAUAUAAAUCAUCACAUUCCACUCCCCAGCCCCCCAUAGGCUUGUUCAAAUAUAUGAGUUUAUGGUGGCCAUAUCUAGCCAUAUCAUAAUUUUUAAAAAUACAUUUAGCCCAACUUCCCAAGUCCCCAUAGUCCAUAGCAGUCUCAACAAUGUCAGAAGUCCAAAGUUCAAGGUCUCUUCUGAGAUUCAUCCAAUCACUUAACUGUAAUCCCCAAAGCAAGACAGGAAAUCA